GUGGGGAAUCUUGUGCAAUGGGCGAAAGCCUGACGCAGCCAUGCCGCGUGAAUGAUGAAGGUCUUAGGAUUGUAAAAUUCUUUCACCGGGGACGAUAAUGACGGUACCCGGAGAAGAAGCUCCGGCUAACUUCGUGCCAGCAGCCGCGGUAAUACGAAGGGGGCUAGCGUUGCUCGGAAUUACUGGGCGUAAAGGGCGCGUAGGCGGACAGCUUAGUCAGAGGUGAAAGCCCAGGGCUCAACCUUGGAAUUGCCUUUGAUACUGGCUGUCUUGAGUUUGGGAGAGGUGAGUGGAACUCCGAGUGUAGAGGUGAAAUUCGUAGAUAUUCGGAAGAACACCAGUGGCGAAGGCGACUCACUGGCCCAAUACUGACGCUGAGGCGCGAAAGCGUGGGGAGCAAACAGGAUUAGAAACCCUGGUAGUCC
rnacentral:rRNA from 1 species